rnacentral:lncRNA from 1 species
AAAACCUGAGAGAAGAAGAAGAAUCUAGAAACUGACAGUAAGACAGAAUAAUAGAAAGAGAAUGUUCAAUAUUUUUCAUUGCCUUUUGCUCAAUCAUAAGGUGUUUUAUAUAGGCACAAAUUAUUACAGCUCACAUUCUCUAUCACGUGAGGAAAAAACGGUUUCCCCCUUUUUCGCUAAAGCUGCUACAUCACUUAGUAAUAUAAUCGUUCAGGUAAGUGGGCGGAUGAGAGCAUCUUUUUGGACGAGCAGCAGUGGAGAUUGUGGUAGCACUUGGACUGUCAAUAGACUCCUCAUUGGUACCAGCGGUUAACAUGGGCCCAAUAUUCCUUUCAUCUCCCUCCGGAUGAAGAAGCACCUUGUCCUCAAGGUGAAAUUGUUGUUGAAUAGUGACUCGAGGUUCCCAAGUGGCCUCCUCUGGUGGCAGUCCCUUCCAUUGUAUUAGGACAGUAUCAGAAUCUGGAUUGGAGGCUAAAAUAGCGAGUGGUUCCAAAAGAGGGUGGUUAUCUUGGAACUCUAGUGGCAGUGCCGACACUGAUGUUGGAGGAGGGCCCAAGUGAGGACGAAGGAAACUGAUGUGGAAUACAUUAUGGAUUUUGGCAGUUGAAGGGAGCUCUAGUUUGUAGGCUACUUGUCCGAUCCGUUCAAGGACUUUGAAGGGACCAAAGAAGCGUUUUUGUAACUUUCCCUUAUAUGGACCAGCAACCGAAAUCUGGCGAUAUGGACGAAGGCGCACAUACGCCCAAUCCCCCUCCUGAAGUUGGAGAUCUCUGCGAUUGGUGUCAGCCCAUUUCUUUAUAUCGGACUGAGCUUUCAGCAGAUUAUGAUUGAGUUUACGGAUAAUAUCAGUCCUUGAUUGCAACUCAAAUUGAACCGCCGCGUUUGAAGUAUCUGAAGCGAGUGCUUGUGGAAUCGAGGGUGGGGGGGAUCCAUACAUAAUUUCAAACGGAGUCAUCUUGGUAGAUGCAUUAAUGCUAGUGUUGAAACACCAUUCAGCCCAAGGAAGAAAUUUCCCCCACAACGAAGGCUUGUGAUGAACGAAACAGCGGAGGUAUUGUUGCAAGACCUUGUUGACUACCUCAGUUUGACCGUCGGAUUGGGGGUGAUAAGCAGUGGACAUCCGCAAUUUGGUGCCGCUAAGGCGGAAGAGCUCGCGCCAGAACUGGCUAAGGAAAAGUGGAUCACGGUCAGAGAUCAGACUUUUGGGAAGACCGUGCAAUCUACAGAUCAUGUGGACAAAUAAAUCAGCCACCUUUGAGGCAGAGAAGGAACGGGGAAGAGUGCCAAAGUGAGCUCCCUUAGAGAAACGAUCAACGACAACCAAUAUUGUAGUGUGGCCCUGGUAAGGCGGAAGACCAAUGAUGAAAUCCAAGGAUAAAUCCUCCCAGCAUUUGGAAGGAGGAGGUAUUGGUUGAAGUAGCCCUGCUGGUUUUUGAGCUGGGAUCUUAGUUUGCUGACAAGUCACACACUGAGUGACAAAGGAAUGAAUGUCCUCCCGCAUUUUAUCCCAAAAGAAAUUGGCAGCCAAUUUCCCGAAAGUGCGGGCCACCCCCGGAUGUCCUGCAAUUGGUGUAGAAUGAUACUCAUGUAACAGGGUAGGGAUGAAGGGGCAAGAAGCUGGAAGCCAAAUGCGCUUCUUGAAUAGAAUCAGUUCGUCGACAAUAGAGUAUAAAGGAAAGCGAGCAGGAGUAGUGGCUAUUUUGUGCUUGAGAUCAAGAAACUCAGCACUGUUGGAGAGAGACUGUUUGAGAUCAGAAAGGAAAUCCAAUUGUGGGAUGGAUAAGAUCAGCAAUUGGGUGUCCUGUUGUGUGGAUGGGAGCCUAGACAAGGCAUCCGCUGCGGAAUUAGUCUUCCCCGGUCUGUAUUGUAUCUCAAAGUCGUAGCCCAAUAACUUUGAGAGGUAGGUCUGCUGAUCCGGAGUGAGAACCGUUUGGGAGAGCAAUUCUUUGAUGGAUUUUUGAUCUGUUUGAAUGAUGAAACGCCUUCCAAGAAGAUAUUGUCGCCAUUUUUGAACCGCAGAGGUAAUGGCACAUAGUUCUCGAAUGUAUGUAGAGGAGUUUUGUAACUUGGGGCAAAAUUGCUUACUGAAGUAUGCAAUGGGGUGUCCAUUUUGAGAGAGGACAGCUCCCAUACCAGAACCCGAGGCAUCAGUUUGCACCAAGAAUGUGCAAUCGAAGCGUGGUAAGGCUAACACCGGAGUGUUUGUUAGAGCAUCUUUCAAACGCUGGAAGGCUUUGGUAGCACUAUCUUGCCAAACAAAAUUAUCUCGCUUAAGGAGAUCAGUGAGGGCGUUUGCAAUUGAGGCGUAUCCUUUGACAAAACGACGAUAAAACCCUGUCAAUCCCAAGAAGCCACGAAGGGAUUUGACUGAUGUUGGUAGAGGCCAAUCAAGAACAGCUUGUAUUUUGUUGGGAUCUGGACGGACACCCUGACGAGCCACAAUAUGUCCUAAAUAAUGAAUUGAUUCCUUUCCGAUGGAACAUUUCUCCCCCUUUAGUUUGAAGCUGUGUUCAACCAGCAGCUGGAAAGUACUCUCCAAGUGUGAAACAUGAGAAUCCAAAGUUGGACUAUAUACUAAAAUAUCGUCAAAAAAGACAAUGAUGAAUUGACGAAGAUGUGGCCGAAAGAGAUCGUUCAUGGUGGCUUGAAAGGUGGAAGGGGCAUUGCAUAACCCAAAUGGCAUCACCUUGAAUUCGAAAUGGCCAUUAUGAGUGCGGAAGGCAGUUUUGGCACAGUCAGUGGGAAGCAUCAAAAUCUGAUGGAAGCCAGAGAAUAAGUCUAGCUUUGAGAACCAAGUUGCAUUACCCAACUCAUCCAAUAAUUCGUCGACAGUCGGAAUCGGAAACUUGUCUUUCACCGUUACAGCAUUGAGGGCCCGAUAGUCAACACAAAAACGCCAUGUCCCGUCUUUUUUUUUGACAAGGAGAACAGGAGAGGAGAAGGGACUGGUGCUUGGCUUAAUAAAACCAGAAUCCAACAUUCGUUGCACCUGUUGCUCAAUUUCAUGCUUUUGAAAAUAGGGAUAUCGAUAAGGCCUGACGGAGAUAGGGGCACUGUUUGGCUGUAGGGUGAUACCAUGAUCGGUCGAUCUAGAAGGGGGUAGGGUAGUUGGUGGUUGAAAGAGGGAGGCAUAUUUUGUGAUGAGUGUUUGUAGAGGAGGGUGGUCAGAUGUAGGUAGAGAUGGGCUGGGUGUGGAUUUGGAUAGGGAAGCAGUUGCGGUGGUGAGGGAGUAUGAGUGGUACGAAGGUGGUUGGUCAAGUGUGAGUUGGUAAAGGGCCUCCACGCUAUUAGUUUGUUGUAGCCGCCUAAGUUGAUGGAUGGAUAUUGGGCUAGGUGUUGGGCCGGUUUCACCUUUUAAUUCAACCAAAGUGCCUUCCCACAUAAAACGCAUGAAUGGACCAUUGUAGUCCAUCACAAACGGGCUAACUUGAGUGAGCCAAUGAACCCCUAGGACAAUGUCAGUGCCAGACAAUUCUAGAGGAUACAAAUCAAUAGAGAAUUGGAAAGAAGCUACUUUAAGUUGGGCCUUGGGGCAAAGGGUGGAACAUGGAAGGAAAUCACCGUUACCUACCAUUAACUUCAAAGGGGUUGGAGUCGACUCAGUGUGGAGUUGGAGGAAAUGGGCCACGCGGCUCUGGAUGAAGUUGUGGGUAGCUCCACUAUCCACCAAAAUUUGGACUUGGUAUCCAUUGAUAGAGCCCGAUAAUCGAAGAGUGCGAGGGGCCCAUUGACCAGAUAGGGCGUGCAAACUGAUGAGGCCGGAUUCGGAGGAUGGAUCCUCUGUGGGUAGUGGAUCCGGGUCAUCAGGCGGGAUCGGAUCGUCAUCUAAUGUAGUGGAGAUCAGUAGUAAAAACUGGGUUUUACAACGAUGACCACGUGUAUAUCGUUCGUCACAAUUGUAACAUAGAUUCUUCUCUCUUCUAGCUUGCAUUUCCGCCUCUGUAAGACGUUUAAUGGGUAAUUUGGUUGGGGGUGUGGGAAGGAGGGGAGGGAGAGGUUUGGGUACUGGUGGUGGUGGGGUUUGAGUCUGAGAAGGUGGUUUAGAGAAUCGGGAAAAAGGAAAGGCAGAUUGUUUAUCAUCAUGGAGUUUAGCAAAGGAGAUGGCCUGAUUCAAAUCGGUAGGUUGGAGGACUGUUACCUCACGACGGAGGUGUGGUUUGAGCCCCGAUAUGAAGCAACUGAGAUAAAAACUAGGAGGAUAUCCAGAGAUCCUGUUGGAAAGAGUCUCAAACUCAGAUAGGUAAUCCUGCAAGGAGUGAGUCUGGGAAAGUUUACAGAGAGCUGCGAUAGGAUCUUCGAACUUUGAAGGAGCAAAUCGGAGCUCCAAAGCCCGGAGAAAGGAUUCCCACGAUGUUAAGAGCCCGUUAUUAUGCAUCCAUUGAAACCAUGCAAGGGCUUUUCCUUCGAGAGAGAAGGAGGCUAACUGGAUACGUUGGUCCUCAGGUGUUUGGUGGAAGGUAAAGUACUGGUUCACCUUGAAGAUCCAGCCUAAUGGGUCCGACCCGUCGAAGGAAGGGAGGUCCAGUUUCAUAUGGCGGUGAGGAGGGUGGAGUGGUGGAGGUGAGAGAGCAAGUUGGUUUUCAAGAUGGGAGGUGCGGUUAUCAAUGUCCAUGAGGGUGUUAGAGAAAUUGGCUUGAGCAAGUAAGAUCUGCUCUAACUUGCGGUCAAGGGAGGCUAGUGUUUCGGAGGGGUCAGUCAUGGUGGAGGCGAGUGAGAUGCAACGAGAGCACCAAAUGAAAGGGGAAAAACCUGAGAGAAGAAGAAGAAUCUAGAAACUGACAGUAAGACAGAAUAAUAGAAAGAGAAUGUUCAAUAUUUUUCAUUGCCUUUUGCUCAAUCAUAAGGUGUUUUAUAUAGGCACAAAUUAUUACAGCUCACAUUCUCUAUCACGUGAGGAAAAAACGGUUUCCCCCUUUUUCGCUAAAGCUGCUACAUCACUUAGUAAUAUAAUCGUUCAGGUAAGUGGGCGGAUGAGAGCAUCUUUUUGGACGAGCAGCAGUGGAGAUUGUGGUAGCACUUGGACUGUCAAUAGACUCCUCAUUGGUACCAGCGGUUAACAUGGGCCCAAUAUUCCUUUCA